AUUAGGGAAUCUCUCAGAGAAGAACUUCACAUAAAUCACAACCAAUUCACCUAUCUUCCUUAACAUUGUUGGCUUGCAUUGACACCAAACUGAUUAACUCUAUUUCGUUAACACACACAACCACACCUCUUUGGCUCGAUUUAUUAACACAAUUUUUUUACUUAGAAAAAUAGUAAUAAUAUUUCCAUCACAGAAGUCUCUCGUACGAAAAUGAUUGGAUGAAGCAAGAAAAUAAGAACUCAACAAUUCAUUACAGGAAAUCUCCCCAAGACGCAAAGUCUUAUGCCCUAGAAGUAGCAAAGCUUGUGGCACUAGCAACCUUCGGCAAACAUCAUCCAGUCUUGCGCCGGAGCUCGGACGCCGCUCUUUAUCCUGCCACAGCCUGUCUCGAAGAAUCGCGGAAGAAACUCACCCAUUACUUGUGAGGCUGUCCAGUGCCGUUGUGUUCCGAGAGUCUGUCGACUUGGCUGCGGAGAACGCAACUUUGGAUGGGCUGCUAAAUUGGGGGCGGCGGUGAACCGCUCUGCCAGUAUCGCCGCUCGGAUCGACGCAUAGAGCGCGAGAGCGAGAGAGAGCGGAACAACAGUUCCGCGGCCUCGGAAGCAGCUGUACAAGCUGGCUGCAAACAUGGACAAUCGUAUCGCCCGGCUGUCGCUCCCUGCACGAAGGCCACUUGGGCAAUUUGGCUGAGGAGGAUGAGGCGUAGGAAUAGCAUGCCCACUCACCCACAGACUGCUCGCUCCAGAACCCUGGUUUUGCAACACUUUCCUCGUUUCCUCGCUGUCUUGGAGGUCCGUAACAACAGCUCGGAACCGAAUACCGCAACUCCGAGACUGAUCUGAACGGACAGCAUCCGUUGAGAUACAAAUAAUACCGAUCACCGCUUUCCGCGAGAUGGUUGCAGGGAGGAGAUUCCAGUGUUUGAAUACAAAAUCUGUCGUAGUUCGGAGCUGUGGAAUCUACAGCUUCGACAUUCCGAAGCUUUUCUGAUUAUCCGGAUAAUCAGAAAUGCACUUCCUUGGCUGCUACCCAGAUGCACUUCUACCGAGACCUUUCCAGGACCGGAGCCGAUACACGACGAUCCCAAUCUCGGACUGUGUGAAAAGGAAUAUUUUGGAAUCUCCUUUUCGUGUCCCUUCCACGCUUACACACCCACUGAUUGGAUUAUUAUGCAAAUUCGUCUUUUAAUUUUUUCCUUCUUUUUUGAAAUAUUACCGGUGCAAUUAUAGUAACCACCAUUUGCAAUGUUACAUGACAUGAAGUUCAUUGAAUUUGGUUGUAUGUAACAUUGCAAGUCUAACGUUAUGUACACAAUUCUUAUCAUUAAUAUCCAAAAAAAAAUCAAAAUCAAAAUCAAAAUCAAAAUGUUACAUGAAGGUCUAGAGUAUUCGUUAUUGCUUCAAAGGCAUGGCUUGUUGAUGUACAACUUUGUUUACUUAAAGUUAAUGAAAUGAGCAAGUAAACAUAUUCUCAUGGACGUUUAUUCAUUUGUAGAGUUAUAAAACCUUCAGCAUCAUGUGACAUUCUAUCUCUAUCUCUCUCUCUCUCUCUCUCCUACCUCUAGAAAUUCACCUUUUGAUAAAACAACUGAACAUAUAACAUAUUUUGAUUUUAGUAUAAGAACAAUGUCUCAUAUUCCAUCUGAAAUAUGUAAAUAUUUUGGUAGUAUGGUUUCAGUAUGAAGAACAACAGUAAAAUAGAAAUAAACCCAAAAAAAUACAUUGUGUCAAGGUGUUGUGCUCUCUAGUUAAAACAUUGGUUUUAACUAGAGAGCACAAAUCAUUAAGGAAAGCAUUCACCACAGACUCUUCAUAUGUACUUAAAUACAAUUGUAUAAAUUUCCCAGCUUCUAUUUUUUCUUCCAAAUGAUUCUUAUGAGUUUGGUUUAUGGAUUUAUCUCUUUUACAGAUCAUGUCAAAUCUCUGAAAUGAAUUCAAUACCAUCAGGUAGGUUGCAACUGUGGGAUUGAGCAGACAGAAUAAUCAAAAGAUACAAAGUUAAAAGAAACAAAAUAAAUACCUAAAUAAAUUAAAUACUGAACAAGAAAUUUGUUGACUAGAUCCAAUAGUGAUUUGACCAAGGAGUAAUGACUCACCCUAAUAAUUGAAUUGUCAUGGAGGGUAUUUCAUUGUCAUGAAGGGUAUUUCAUUGUCUUCCUUUUGUCUUAUUGUCUUACUGUAUGAAGAGCAUUGAUCCAUCCUAAACAGAGCUUGUUGUUGUUAUUAAGGCAGAAUUUGAUGCUCUCUAUUGCCACACCAUGGCAACCUAUUAUUAUUUGCACCUUCAAGAUCAGUAUCAUCUGCCCAGGGCAGUUUUAUGUUGAAUCAAAAUACAUAUAAUUUGAAGUUUUAAAAAAUUCAAAAAUUCAAAAGAGAAGAAAGAUCCUUAAUACCUUGAGAAUAAUAUCCUACAUGUUCCGAUUUUUUUUAAUUUUUUAAUAUUAUACAAUUGGUUCUAAAAUUAGUUACAAGUUUCAAAACUGACACUGUAGUAUGUUUCUUUCAAACCACUCUAAUUGGUCAGUUUGUAAAACUUUAAAGUCAAUAACAUAAAGAUAAACACAAAUAGUUGAAGCAGAGAUUAUACACCAGUUUGUAUUUAAACAUUCUUCAUACUUGAUAAGUGUAAGUUUUUUGGAGCAUUAUAAUUGCAUUUGUGUAACCCCACAGGAACACAAAGGAAAUAUUAAUCUUGUCAAUGAAGAAGUGCAGUGUUGCGAGCUUUAUUUUAGCAUAUGGGUUUGAUUCUGUGGCUACUAAUGUGUGUGCAACAGGGAAAUAUUUCUCAUGUCCAAGAAUUGUACAUGCAGCAGAGAAACUGAAUAGCUUCCUUUCAUUAGUCACUAAGGUGCAACAAUGUUGGCGAACUUAACUCUACUCACAUAUUUAGAAAUCCCAAAACAAUUAGCGCACAUGUUGAUAAUCAUGCUGCACCGGAAAGUGACAUUUGGAAUUUGCUGAGUUGGAGCUCCAGCGUUAACUAAUCCCUCCUCUCAAAUGGGAAUUUCUAUUCUGGUUUUGUCAGUACUCUGCCUCAACUUUCGCCCAACUUUAAUCCGUCGUUAUUGAUUCAUAUUAUUCAGGGGAUGAUUCAUUUUUCGAAACUAAAACAUAAUUUCUGCACUCGUAACUAAAUAUACAAUAUAUAUAUAUAUCUGUGUGUGUGUGUGUACUUCAAAGAUCAACCUGACGUCCUAUAUGCUACGAAUGAUUUGCUACUCUCAUUAACAACUUAAUGAUGGCAAGAAGCAUACAAAGGAGCACCCAAGAAUGAAAGAAGCGAAGUUACAGUGGGCAGGGACAAACAGACCCAAAUAUAGUGCCACUCUCAAUAGAAAGGGAGAGUGCUGAGUGUUGCGGAGGCAGAUGGAGUGGUGGCAAGAUGGGCUCAGCUCACCAAAUGGCUUUAACAAGCUGACAGAUUCAUUCCUUCCUCACACUGUCUUUUUCCCACUUUAUUUACCACUUUUUCUUUUACUUUUUAUGUCUUUCAUUUCUAUUGGGGCAGGUACGAAGUUCGGCCCCCUCAAAACUUUUUUCAGGUGGUGCCACUGUUCUCCACGCGUGGUGAUGGGCUUUUGUUGUUGGGCUGGGUGUCAGCUAUUGGUCGUUGCACAUGGUAGCCCCCCCCCCCUUCCCUUCACGGGUGAAAUCCGAGGAAGAUUUAUUAUUUGACAGGACCCAUUAUCCCACUGCUUCUUCUUCUCUCUUCGUACUCAAGUCAAAGCACUUAUCCACAGCAUAACUUUGUUAAAUAAAACUUUACUUUUACUUUUACUUUUGAAAUAAAAAAAUCACCACACAUGAGAGCACCUCGCUCAUUUUAUUUUACCCGUCCAUUCUAACCCAGUUAAGGAUCCUCUUCGUCUCAGUUGUUGCGUUUACUGUAUGUUCCCAGCCCAUUGUGAAGGUGGAAGUAACGUGCCCAACAUUGAGAACGCUAAUGAGAACGAACCAUGCAACUCCCACUAUUGAAAAGUGAGUGGAAGUGGGGGAGAAUCGGGCAGGGGCUUUGGGGGCAGGGUUGAAAUCUUGAGAAAAGGGACUGGCAGGGGUUUCGGAAGCGUUGGGGCCUCCUGCCCUGCCCUGCCCUGCCACUCUGGGAGUAUGAAAAGGUCAACCCCAAAGCCUAACUGGGCACCUGUCAGAAACCACGGGCAGACACUGGAAACUUUCACUUGGAUGCUCGGUCAUAGGGGCGUUCGUGGUCAUGAUGCCACUCUUAUGUUUGAACGUCGUGGGCUGUAAGUGUUUUUAUUUUAUUUUAUUUUAUUUUUACAAUGAGGGGGUUAUUCUCUUCAGUUUAUAGGGUUGACAUUUGUAAUACCACGGUAUUUUUUUUGUUUUUAUUUAUUUUCAUUUUCAUUUUUUUCUGACUGGGUUAUCAAACUAUUCCAAAGUAGAAGAUUUUCAUUUAUGGGUGAGCUGCAAGCUAUAAACAUGGUGUGUGGGUAGGAGCUCUGGGAUCAAUUAACAGGCUGAUAGUGGACAAAAAUAUAGUGCCAAAGACGGGGAGCUUCCACCAAGUGCCCUGUGACCAGAAAACAAGGCAAUGAACAAGCUUGUGGGAUUCAUUAAACUCAAGGCAUUUACUCAUCCUUUCCAUUGACAUGUUCAUCAAUAUAUGUAUAUAUACAUAUAUAUAUAUAUCUAGAGUUCUCCGAGGAUGACCACAAGUGUGUGUGUGUGGGGGGGAGGAGAUAGAAGCUCUUUCAGUUAUUCAUGGAUUGAAUAUGUGUAUGGAUGAGAAUAGACACUUGGACAAAUGGAGUAGUCUCUCAAUAUUUAGCUUUAUUUUGUUACUUGGUUGGAGAGUUUUGAGAAAAUGAUGUUCAUUUCACUACAUCAACAUUUGGAUUAAAACAUCAUAUUCUGAAAUAAAGUAAUGUUCUUUGAGUUGUAUAUAACUAUAUAUAUGCAUUGGUUUUAGUUGCUAUUCUUUUCUAUGUAUGUAAAAAUCAAUAAAUAAGUGUACCUAUUAUAUGUUGCUAGUGCAAAUAUCCUGAUUAUAUAUAUUUUUUACAUUUGAAAGAGAAUUUAAAAUAUAACAUUUUUUGAAUAGUUCUUAUGAAAAAACUAUCUCUCUAAAUUUGGCUGAAUAGCAAAACAUAGAAUUCACUUUUUCAUUUUUUUUCUCAAACCAUCAAAGUAAGUAUGGCUUGUUCAUUAAUUUCUACACAAAGCAACUUUCUAAAAUGUUUGUAUGCAGGUAUUUCACAAUGGAUAGAGUCAAGGCCAUAUGAAGGCGCAUUUUGAUUUUCUAUUAUUCAAAUACUACUUCACAUAUUUAUAACAUUCAAUGCUUUGAAUUUCCAACAAGUGAAUAUGUUCUCAUUAGAAACUACAAACAGGAAGUUUUAGGUCAAUCAACCUUCAUUGUGAACUUUCCUUGAAACCUUUACAUUUUGAAACAAACAGUUCAUAUAUCAAACAAAAAUAAUUUAUAAAUUUUAGACAUUUUGGUGUGGUCAGAUAGUAAUGAUAUAUUUAACCCCAUGGUUUGAAUAUAGAUUAUCAACAACUUCAACAAAUGGAGUUCACACAAAGUGAGGAAAAUGCUUCAUCUUCCCAUUAAUCACAUUCUGCACACAUGUCCCCAGAUUCAGCUUUGGAACCAUCAACCCACACAUGUUGCUCCUGAGAUAAACAGAGUUUUGUUCCAGAUGAAUGAAUCUCUGACCUUGCUGUUGUUCAUAAAUACAUAAAUAAAUAAAUAAAUACUAGUGAAAACUUGUGAUGUUUGAGCACACAAAUAAUACCAAUAAAAUGGGUAGGUUUUAUACAAAUAUCUUAAAAAAAUCAAGACCCCAUGCUGUUGGUAAAUUUGCUUCAAAGUUGUUUGACCCAAUGUGCCAAAUCUAUCACAAACCAAAUCAACCACAUGUCAUAUUCAUAUAUGACUUGUUCCAACACAAAUAACCACAAUGUUUCAUUUUUUCAUUUUUUUUUUUUUUUUAUCUUCAAUAAAAUUUUAAAUUGUUUGCUACCUUAAUGAAACAACUAUUGUCAUAGUUUACAAGGCUACAUUUCUCAUGUCUGCAAUUGUAUUGAAUUCUUUUUGGUAUGUAAGAUGGAUUAUCACACAUUGGUAAGUGUCAAAUGUUUGUUUGAUAUUUCUUGUUCCAUUUUAUUGCUUUACUUUAUUAACACCACAACUAAGUAUUAGAACCUGCUUCUUUGAUGAAAUAUGGAGUGCAAUACUACUUGAACUUCUUCUUUAAAGAGUUUUCAAUUAACAAAUCCUAUUGUAGUUAUACAAACUAAUUUAUUUAAUACGCACACAUACGUACACACUAGGCGAAGAAGCCUUGAUUUGGUGAAUGAAUGACUAUCUGAAGAAACAGAAGGAUGGGUGGGCUGGUUCCCAGGUUUACUUGCUUGAUGCAGAAUCUCAAUCUCUCCCUACAUUAAGCUCCGCAACCAAGAAAUAUUCUCACACAAACGAAUCAAUCAAUCAAUUAGAGCUGACCUUAACUCCCAUUUAACCAGAGUGAUUAACUUUGUAGGCUUGUGUUAUGCAAUGAGAGAGAGAGAGAGAGAGAGAGAGAGAGAGCAGGUGGGGAAUGAGUGUAGAGCAUGAAGGUGGGGUGGAAUCUGCUGCUGCUGCAACAAUCCAGACAUUAAUGGUGCUGUCUGUGAGCUUCAAUCUUGCAGUAUCAUGCUUCAUGUGGAGAAGAGGAUGAUUUAGGGUUGAUGACACAGAUGCACCAAAUCACAUUCCACAACCCAAGACUCAGAUUAGCGAGCUGGCUCUGCUACGAAUUUGAUUAACCAGUCCCUAAUUCACAGCAUGUCAUGAGAGAUGUGGAUCAUGUGAAACUUACCUUCACACUCCUCACUUGCCCUCACUCUGGACUCUUUCAUUACUUUAAGAGAUCAAACACUUGUCAUGGUUGUUUUUAUUAUUAUUUUUUAUUUUUUUAGUUUAUUUUUUAUUUUUUAUUUUUUUAUUUUAUUUUUUAUGACUCAAACUGCAUCAUUGCAAGGAACAUCAGUCUCCAUCUAUUUCAGUUUUAUCAAUUGGGAAUGUGAGACUAAUUUUCGUUUCUAAUGUGAUGGGUAAACCUCUUGCAUGUCACAAAAACUUAAAAUAAAAAGAAAAAGAAAAAGAUGGAAUAGAAACAAAUCAUAGAGAAAUCCAUUUAACUUUGAGGGGACAACUUCAUCUUCUGAUGGUACUCAUUAAAACAGAAGACAAAAUAGAACAGAAAACAAAGCAGCUUUGUUUUUAAGAUGCAGAGGCCACACAAGUGAGUGAGUAAGUGAAAGGGAGAAGCAGGCUCAGUGCUCAAAAACCAAGAAGAGCAAAUCUUAAACCCAAUAUUAAGCUGUUCUGUGGUUUGUACUUUAGCCACUAAUCAAGUAAUCAGUCAACUCUGCAAAAAGCACUGUGGUAUUAAAAACUACUAAUACUGUGUUUGCUACUAAAGAGAUAUAGAGGGAAGAGGGAGGGAGGGGUGGGGGGUGAUUAUUGAAUAAUCAAUUAACCCAUGUGUUUACUUUGAAGGCAAGUGAAUUAGCAAAGUGGGUUAGUGUGCCACUAAUUUAGUUGCCACACAAGACUGCUCUCACAUAAACCAAUGACAAUUAGCCUAAGCCUUGGUCACACCCAGUUGCUUUUUCCAGCUGUUACUUCAUAUUGAAAAACCCACCUGCACAUGCUCCUCUUCUCAAUUGCUUGAUUUAGAGUGCUUGGAAUGUUUGAAAAUUCAAAUUCAAAAUUUUCCAGAAGAGCAAAAGUAUGUAUCCAUUUAUUUUGUAUGAGACAGUUACUCAUGAAAACAAUCUAUUGUGUUUGGAGGUUCUCAAUAUCUUGUUAUAUCAUGGUUUUAAUUUUAGUUUCAAGUGUGUUUUUUUAAACUGGAUAGGAAAAGUUAGAUUUCACAUUAGAGACAAAACACAAAGAGAUAAACAAGGGAAAAAAUAUUAAUCAGCUUGUUUUUAUUGUAUCCGUUAAAAUAUUAGCUUCUAUUCUCUAGAGAUUCCUCCUAUGUAAGACAUAAAUGAAAAUACGAAAAUUCAUAUUUACGAUUUUCAUAUUCAACCCCAAUCAUUAUUAUUAUUAUGAUUACUAUCAUUACUACUACUACUACUAAUACCAUAUUUUUCUGAUUUUUCAUAACUUUUCACAGAAUGAUUAAUUAGUAUGAAAUCAAAUCGGUAAUCUUCUUCUCUUCCUUGUCCUGUCUAUGCCUUCCUAUCAAAUCAAUGGAAGGCAUUGACAGGAGCCCCACUUGUAGCCCAAGCAGCAGGCAGCUCCAACUCCGCAAUUCCAAAACAAAGUGUGGGAUCCCAAGACACAUUCAAAAAAGCUCCAUUCACAUGCACAUUUUGAUUGCUGUUUUUAAUUAAAAAAACAUUAAUUUUUUUUAAAACUCACCAACUUCGUUUGCCUUCAAGGCUCCCUUCCCCAAGCAACUUCAUGAGUUGACCUCAUGAAGGGGUAAACCUCUUUCUCUGUCUGUGCACAAGCCCACUGUUCACCUUGACACUCCCUUCAUCAUCAUCAUAGUCACAAAUAUAAUAAUAAUAAUAAUACUAAUACUUAUUAUUCACACAAUGGGGUGAGUAAAGCAUGCCUGAUUACAUUCAAUCCAAACAUAUGAAAACCACAUGUGUAUGUUAGAGUGGGAUUUCAAGAUAUAUGUAUUAAUUUUCCUACUAACUUACCAUCACUGGUUUAGAGUUUUUGAGGCUUUGUUUCUCUAUAUUUUGUGUCUGUUUAUAAACAAACAAGUAAAAUUACAACCCACCAUGCAUAUCAUUGAUACAUCAAUACCCAAAGAUAAAAGGUAAAAAUAAAAAAUAAAAAAACGGAUAGAAUAUUUUCAAUUGAAUAGAGACUAGUGACAAAGUGCCAACAUAGAAUCCAUCAAACAACAUGGCAUUCUACAGAAAGAGAUGAAAAUCAACUCAAUUUUUUGUAGAAAGUGUUAAAUAGAGAUCAAAGAGACACAAAUUCUUCCAGAUGGUGCUUCAUCUGUUCUUCCAACUUCAAUAAUUAGUAACUAUUGAAACCAAUGCUUCAGUAAAAUAAGAUCUUUCAGCACAAAUAUGUCACUUGCUCAUUGAACCACUGUUUUCUUGUUAUUCGUUUAUUUAUUAAUUUAUCUCAAGAAUUCCUCUAUGACAUCCUAUAUGUCUUAUGCUCACAAAUGUAGUCCCGCCCCCCAACAACAUCAUUGUAUUGAGUCGUUGAUGAACAAACUUUCCUCUUUUUAGGGAAUUUUGAGGUUGAGACCUCCUGCUCAGUUAUGGUUUGUCCAAACUACAUCGUUUGCGUUGUCUUCCUUCGUUUGUUUGAUACUCCUAUUCAAUGCAGAUCAGUAAAAAACACAAGACAAAAACAUGAACAAAGAAAAAAGAAAAACCACCAGAAACCACCAAAGAAAACAGCAAGAGAAGACACAAACAGCAAACUUCUGUCGACGAUUCCAAGCGACCGAUCGCAAGGCACCGAAGCAAAAUUCAUGCACAGCGACAGUCGCAAUAUUCUUCAUCACACAGCAAGCAACCACGAUCACCCACAUCGAGAGAGCAACCCAAUUGUGGGAACCCUAAUCGGGACAGACACACAAUGUGCCCCGAAAUCCACAAAAACCCACACCGCCAGUGCAGCAGUGUUUCGAAUCCACCGAGGCAAAUUUCGACGAGGCAUCGAUGGAC
rnacentral:lncRNA from 1 species